UACUAUUACCUUGAAUUGGUACCUGGAAAUCAGAUUCCGUGGCAUUGGAUUAGCAGUUAAGCUUGAAACCUGGAAUCCUUGGAUGUUGUGGGAAAAUUUUCAAACCAUUCAAGAACAAGCUUCAGACAUGCUGUGCCAUCACCCACAAAUUCUCCAGUGUAUAUUUCCUAAGAACAAGGAUGCUCUGCAAUGUUACCAUCACUCAACUAUUCAUAAAGGAAAUAACCAUCGAUGCAGCAAUACUAUCUAAUCCUCAGAUUUCCCCAGAACUUUCCGCCCUGUAUCAACCGUCUUUUCUUUCUGGUGCAGGAUCUAUUCCAGGAUUAAACAUUACAUUUACCUUUA